AAAGAUUCUCUUCCUCUCUAUUUCGACAAAUUUCAAAGAGAGCUGCACUCUCGAAGCGCUGGAGAAGGCAUCUGUGCCCCUCUUGCCACCGAUCAUCGUGUUUCUCCUGCGAUUGAUCCUAUCCAGCUACCUCGGAGCCCAAUCGCAACUUAUUCAAGAACGGCAAUCCAAGCUCCACCGCUGCUCUCAUCUUCACCGUUGUUGCGAGCACUGGCAACUUCGUCCGUCAAGCCACAGUCGAACGAUUCCGCUGCAGCCACAGCUUCUCUUCCGGAAUCGAAAAGAGUGAUUCAUGCUUCGACGCUGACGACUGCUCUGCCGCUACUCCAUACGCACUCGUUCCCCGAUACCACGAAAACUGAACCUGAGGUGUUGGUCAGAAGCCUAUGUUCGGAGCAUUUGGGUUCAAUCUUGCUCAAACAAGUCCUUUUGAAAGUACAACUUAAGCAUCACAGCCAGCAUUUGGGGGCAGUAUAAUUGGUUCCUCCACGCCAAUUGGUGCCAUGUGCUACUGCAAUGGCAUUUGGGGUAAGGGUGGAGGCUCCAAAUUCAACAAAAUGAAAUUGAAGAUGGCGGUAGCUCGAAUAAAGUUGUUGUGGAACAAGAGGCGGGCGGUGGUGAAGCAAAUGAGGCCUAACAUUGCCUUUCUCCUUCAAUCUGGUCAAGAUGACGCUGCUCGAAUCCGAGUUGAACAUUUGAUUAGAGAACAUAACAUUUUGGUUGUCAAUGAGUUCAUUGAGUGAAUUAGUAGAAUCUAGACCUUCUAUCAUCACAAAGCGAAGGGAGUGUCCGCCUUAUCUCAAAGAAGGAAUUGCUAGUUUAAUCUUGGCCUCUCCCAGGUGUUCUGAGAUUUCUGAACUGAUCGCACUAAGGGAUAUUUUUGAAAAAAAGUACAGUAAAGAUUUUGUAUAUGCGGAUGUUGAUGUACGUCCCAGCUGUUGUGUGAAUCGCAUGUUGCUUGACAAGCAUUGCUCAACUUUGAGGGUGGAGCAAGGUUCAUUGACCUGGGAGAGUGGCAGUGAAUAAGACUAACAAGCCGAUCUCUGAAGACCCAGAUAUUCAGGGGAAGAAAAGUAUGGUUUUCGCUGGACCGAUUGUUUUGAAUGGGAAUUGCCUAUGCUUUGUUGCAGAGACAGGAAUGUCGACUGAAAUUGGGAAGGUGCAAAUGCAAAUCCAUGUUGCCUCACAGAGCGAAGAAGAUACCCCACUUAAGGAGAAGUUUAACGAGUUCAGAGAGAUACUUAAGAUGAUCACUGGAGUAAUUUGCGUAUUAGUGUGGUUCAUCCAUAUCAAAUAUUUCCUUACUUGGGAUGAUAAAACAGGGACCAUGACUAAAAAUCAGAUGGUAGUGGCAAAACUUAUAGCUUUGCGUCCUAGGCCUAUUAUACUACCGAAGUUUAGGAUGGAUGGAACUACAUACAAUUGAAUCCACUUGAUGGUGAAAUUCAUGACUGGCCAACUGGUCGAAUGGAUGCUAAUCUUCAAAUGAUCGCAUAGGUAGCUGCUGUCUGCAAUAAUGCUAGCAUUACACAGGCAGAACAGAAGUAUGUUGCCUAUGGAAUGCUUACUGAGGCAGCUCCAAAGUUUUUAGUUGAGAAGAUGGCCCAUUCCCGAAGAAUCCAAGGGUGCGGAAUCAUCAAAUGAAAGGGAUUUGCUUGGUUGUUGCCAGAAGUGGAAUGAAUUUGAACGCCGAAGUGCAACCCUUGAGUUUGAUCCUGAUAAGAAAUCCAUGGGUGUAAUUGUCAACUCUGUUUCAGGGAAGAAGUCAUUGCUAGUGAAGGGUGCUGUAGAGAAUUUGAUUGAGAAAAGCACCAAGGUUCAAUUGCUUGAUGGCACUGUUGUACCACUGGACAAUACCUCAAGGAACUAUAUCGUGCAAGCUCUUCAUGAGAUGUCAACUAGUGCUUUGAAACCACUGAAUGAUGCACCUGUUUUGAAACUUGCUGAUAUUGGGAUUGCAACGGGCAUAUCUGGAAUUGAGAACCAUGUCCAUCAUAAGGGAAUGUGCUGCUGCUUUCAAACAAGUUCCCACAUCCAUUUUUUAAAGUCUUGUGGACAAGGCUAAUUUUUAAGGAGGAAGUAUUGUUAUGAACCUAAAAUAGGUCUCAAUUGUGAUUGUCUUAAUCGGUGAUUAAGAGAGUUAAUUGAAAGUUUUAUGCUUUAGUUUAUUAACAAGGAGUCUGUAUAAAAGAAGCAAAAAAACUAAUAAAAAAUGCUUGAAAACUUUGAGUUUUAACGAUAAA